rnacentral:rRNA from 1 species
GACGAACGCUGGCGGCGUGCUUAACACAUGCAAGUCGAACGGUGAAGCGCUUUUCUUGUUGGUUGCUGUGGUUGCGUAGCGAUCAGUUGCGUAACACUUACCUACCCUUCCCUCUUCUUUUGGUUAACCGCAUUAAAGUUUAUCUAAUACAGGAUAUUCUGCUUCUUUCGCAUGGUGGGUCUGUUUCAGCUGUUGCGGCGGUGGUGGCUGGUCUUGCGCCCUAUCAGCUUGUUGGUGGGGUAGUGGCCUACCAAGGCUGUGACGGGUGGCCGGCCUGAGGGGGGGAGCGGCCACAUUGGGACUGAGAUAGGGCCCAGACGGCGAGGGGAGGCAGAAGUGGGGAAGAUUGAAAAAUGGGCGGGAGGCUGAAGGAGCGAAGCCGCGUGGGGGGUGACGGCCUUCGGGUUGUAAACCGGUUUCGCCUGUGAGGAAGGGUGAGUGACGGUAAUGGGUAAAGAAGCACCGGCUAACUACGUG